UCAGAAAAAGGCAAACCUAUUGAGAAGUAGGGACGCAAAGUUACAGGUCCGUAUACAUACUAUCGGAUGGCUGAGCUGCCUGAA
rnacentral:ncRNA from 1 species